GCGGACCUACGGGGCCGCAUAACCAUCAGUCUCCACAAGAGGCUGAGCUAAAACGGAAGACAGAAA
rnacentral:ncRNA from 1 species